rnacentral:rRNA from 1 species
UACGUAGGGGGCAAGCGUUGUCCGGAAUCAUUGGGCGUAAAGAGCGUGUAGGCGGCCAGAUAAGUCCGCUGUGAAAUCUCGAGGCUCAACUUCGAGCUGUCGGUGGAAACUGUCUGGCUAGAGUCCGGAAGAGGAGAAUGGAAUUCCUGGUGUAGCGGUGAAAUGCGCAGAUAUCAGGAAGAACACCCGUGGCGAAGGCGGUUCUCUGGGACGGUACUGACGCUGAGACGCGAAAGUGUGGGGAGGCAACAGG